AGCCAUAACAGCUAGUUUUCCACUUCCAAUGGCUCUAUUUCAUCUCUAUCGGCUAAAAGAAGCUUCCUACAUGUUCUUAAGGCUAUAAAUUCAUGGAAACACCAUCAAACAAGAAGUGAGAGAGCUCCACAAGAUCAAAUCUUUCAAGAACCUUAAAAGAGAGAGCAUAAUGCCAAAAUCCAUAAAAAGGGUCAAACAUAUGAACAAGAAGUGAGCUAUUCAAGUUAGGAUCAAUCAGAGCAUACACUAAGAGCCUCAAGAUCAUAUUCUCAACCUCAACAAAUUGGUGAAGAGCUUCAAAGAUCAACCACUUCACCAAUCCAAGUUUUGCUCUUUUUCAUUUGUGUUUUAUAUCUUGAG
rnacentral:lncRNA from 1 species